AUUUGGAAAAAAAAUGAGCUAGAUCACUACAACGUAAAAUUGUACAGUCCACCAGAGUUGUUUUAAGGCAUGAGUAUAGUCGGUGGAUGGAGGUAAAGGCCACAUUUGGUUUCAGCACUUGCGAAGGGACAGCGAAAUUGCCGCUGCACUUCACGACAAAAUUUCCGAAAAGGCCUGAGUGACAUUUCGGUUUGUUAUGUAAACAAGCGGACUGUAUUUAUGAUGGAGUCAUCUUCGAAAUUGUUCACCGUGAAGGAAGUGAUUCAGGUGCUUUAAUGUUCACCCAACGUCACAAAAUGAUACAAUACAUGAAGAAAGCAGUGGAAGUAAAACACUUUCAGUACGUCUGAUAUUGUUAAAUGUGCAAUGUACAGUACAGUUUCCUCAAAUGUAGCUUUUGCAUCGGUUGUUUGCUUUACUUUGUGACCCGAUGCUGCCUUAGUUACAGUUUCUCAGAAGAUUUAAUAUGUUGAAGGUAUUAAAAAAAAGGAUAUUCUCUGGAACAUCCUUAUAUGGCAUUAGAUGGAAAGUAGUUGUGAAUGGAUAAAAAGAUACAGUGGGCCUUUUCUGUUUUGGCUUUAUCACAACCUGCCUCUUCACCUGUUUGUGCCUGUUUUCAGUAUCAAUGUCGUCUUUUCACUGUCACGUAUUGGACAUAAAUAUGAUUCCUCUGCUGAUGCAAUAAUCUAAUGUUAUCUACUCUGGGUUAGAUAGUAUUGGACAGAGGUCUGAGCAUUACUUUUGAGCUUUUAUGAUAUGAUGUUUUUGUGUGUGUAGAUGUUUUCAUGUCGUUGUUGCUGCCAUACACCUCAUGCCUCCUCUCCGGGUCUGAGCACAGAGCCAAAAAGUGUGAUAUGUGUUUACAGUAAUUAUUUGGUGCAAUAUGCUGUACUUGAUUUGGUUUAAGAUCAUUUCUGUUUAUUUGUGCGUUUUUCCUUAAGUAUACAAAGGUGAUGUUGAAAGCACCUCUUCUGUUAAAUUAUCAGAAGUAAUUAUGAGAUAAAUGAAAGUGCCUUAAACCUUUUACGUAGCAAUUUUAUACUGAACAACAAAAGAAACACAAGUUAUUGUAUCAAAAUACAGUGACAAAUUAUUAUUCAGCAGCCAUAAAACUAAAAAAGUGAAACUACUGCUAUCAAUGUAAUGACAUUUCAGCUGUAAAUCUUUCUAUACAUAUACUUUUGUUCUUUUGUUGUUCAAUAUAUUUUACUGCACACUCCAUCUUACGUUGUUCGAUGGCUUGUUAAAUGAAACACGAACAGGUACUGAAUUUGUGUGACUUGUUAAAUGCACUUUUUAAAAGUUUCAAGUAUUUUAAUGGAGACAGAAUGCAAAGUAUUUUUGUUGGUGUAUUUUUUAAAAAAAAUUGUAAACCAGUUUUGAUGGAUAAAUUGAUGUGGAUGGAU